rnacentral:rRNA from 1 species
ACUGCUCAGUAACACGUAGUCAACCUGCCCUAGAGACACAGACAACCCCGGGAAACUGGGAUUAAUCCGUGAUAGGUCAUCCCAUCUGGAAGGAGGGAUGGCUUAAAGGGGCGCGCGGGCUUCUUCUGCGCGUUCGCUCCAGGAUGGGACCGCGUCCGAUCAGGCUGUUGGCGGGGUAAUGGCCCACCAAACCUGUAACCGGUACGGGCCUUGAGAGAGGUGGCCCGGAGAUGGACACUGAGAGAAGGGUCCAGGUCCUACGGGGCGCAGCAGGCGCGAAACCUUCGCAGUGCGCGAAAGCGUGACGAGGUUAAUCCGAGUGGCCUCCGCUGAGGAGGUCUUUUGUCAGCUGUAAAUAGGCGGGCGAAUAAGGGGAGGGCAAGCCUGGUGUCAGCCGCCGCGGUAAUACCAGCUCCUCGAGUGGUCGGGACGAUUAUUGGGCCUAAAGCACCCGUAGCCGGUUCCGUAAGUCCUCUGUUAAAUCCAGUCGCUCAACGGCUGGUCUGCAGAGGGUACUGCGGGACUAGGAGGCGGGAGAGGCGGACGGUACUCCGCGUGUAGGGGUAAAAUCCUUUGAUCCGCGGAAGACCACCAGAUAGUCAGCGGUAAAGACCACUGACUUGGUGAAUGGCGAAGGCGGUCUGCCAGAACGCGCUCGACGGUGAGGGGUGAAAGCUGGGGGAGCGAACCGGAUUAGAUACCCGGGUAGUCCCAGCCGUAAACGAUGCGAGCUAGAUGAUUCGAUCGCAUAACGCGAUCGAAGUGUCGCAGGGAAGCCGUUAAGCUCGCCGCCUGGGGAGUACGGUCGCAAGGCUGAAUUGUAAGCGGACAUUCCGCUUGCACAGUUCACUUAAAGGAAUUGGCGGGGGAGCAC